UACGUAGGGUGCAGGCGUUAAUCGGAAUUACUGGGCGUAAAGCGUGCGCAGGCGGUCUUUUAAGUCAGAUGUGAAAUCCCCGGGCUUAACCUGGGAACUGCGUUUGAAACUGGAAGGCUAGAGUGUGGCAGAGGGGGGUGGAAUUCCACGUGGUAGCAGUGAAAUGCGUAGAUAUGUGGAGGAACACCGAUGGCGAAGGCAGCCCCCUGGGCUAACACUGACGCUCAUGCACGAAAGCGUGGGGAGCAAACAGG
rnacentral:rRNA from 1 species